rnacentral:rRNA from 1 species
UACGAAGGUGGCAAGCGUUACUCGGAAUUACUAGGCGUAAAGCGCAGGUAGGCGGUUCGAUAAGUCUUUUGUGAAAGCUCCCGGCUUAACUGGGAGAGGCCAAAGGAAACUGUUGGACUAGAGUGUGGUAGAGGAUGCUGGAAUUCCCGGUGUAGCGGUGAAAUGCGUAGAGAUCGGGAGGAAUACCUAUGGCGAAAGCAGGCAUCUGGGCCAUCACUGACGCUGAGGUGCGAAAGCGUGGGGAGCAAACAGG